rnacentral:rRNA from 1 species
CGUGAUGCCGGGCCUCCGGGCCAGAAGUGUGCAAGUCCUACUGCCGAGAAAAGCUGCCGAGCGAUGAAAGCAACCGACCGUACCGCAAACCGACACUGGUAGACGGGUAGAGUAUACCAAGGCGAACGGGAGAACCCUCGUUAAGGAACUAGGCAAAAUGGCUCCGUAACUUCGGGAGAAGGAGCGCCCAGCGCAAGCUGGGUCACAGUGAAAUGGCCCUGCCGACUGUUUAUCAAAAGCACAGGUCUCUGCUAACGCGAAAGCGGAAGUAUAGGGGCUGACACCUGCCCAGUGCCGGAAGGUUAAAGGGAAGGGUUAGACUUCGGUCGAAGCUCAGAACUGAAGCCCCGGUGAACGGCGGCCGUAACUAUAACGGUCCUAAGGUAGCGAAAUUCCUUGUCGGGUAAGAUCCGACCCGCACGAAUGGUGUAACGAGUGGGGCGCUGUCUCAACGAGGGACCCGGCGAAAUUGAAGUAUGCGUAAAGAUGCGUAUUACCCGCAGCAGGACAAAAAGACCCCGUGGAGCUUUACUGUAGCUUGCUAUUGCGUUAGGGUAUGACUUGUGCAGGAUAGCUGGGAGGCUGAGAAGCUGGCGCGUCAGCGUCGGUGGAGCCAACGUUGAGAUACCAGCCUGGCCAUGCUUUGACCCUAACCUGCGUCCGUAUAACCGGCGUGGGAACAGUGGCAGGUGGGCAGUUUGACUGGGGCGGUCGCCUCCUAAAAGGUAGCGGAGGCGCCCAAAGGUUCCCUCAGGCUGAAUGGAAACCAGCCGCAGAGUGUAAAGGCACAAGGGAGCUUGACUGUAAGGCAGACACGCCGAGCAGAGACGAAAGUCGGGCUUAGUGAUCCCACGGCACUGUGUGGAAAGGCCGUGGCUUACCGGAUAAAAGCUACCCCGGGGAUAACAGGCUAGUCUUGCCCAAGAGUUCAUAUCGACGGCAAGGCUCGGCACCUCGAUGUCGGCUCAUCGCAUCCUGGGGCUGGACAAGGUCCCAAGGGUUGGGCUGUUCGCCCAUUAAAGCGGUACGUGAGCUGGGUUCAGACCGUCGUGAGACAGGUCGGUCUCUAUCCGCUGUGGGCGUAGGGAGAUUGAGGGGGCCUGCCCCUAGUACGAGAGGACCGGGGUGGACGAAGCGCUCGUGUGCCAGUUGUCACGCCAGUGGCAUCGCUGGGUAGCGACCUUCGGUUGAGAUAACCGCUGAAAGCAUCUAAGCGGGAAACUCGCCUCAAGAUGAGUCUCCCCUUCCCUUU